GACUGAGUGGCGGACGGGUGAGUAACGCGUGGGUAACCUGCCUUAUACAGGGGGAUAACAGUUGGAAACGACUGCUAAUACCGCAUAAGCGCACGGUAUCGCAUGAUACAGUGUGAAAAACUCCGGUGGUAUAAGAUGGACCCGCGUCUGAUUAGCUUGUUGGUGAGGUAACGGCCCACCAAGGCGACGAUCAGUAGCCGGCCUGAGAGGGUGAACGGCCACAUUGGGACUGAGACACGGCCCAAACUCCUACGGGAGGCAGCAGUGGGGAAUAUUGCACAAUGGGGGAAACCCUGAUGGUGCGACGCCGCGUGGGGGAAUGAAGGUCUUCGGAUUGUAAACCCCUGUCAUGUGGGAGCAAAUUAAAAAGAUAGUACCACAAGAGGAAGAGACGGCUAACUCUGUGCCAGCAGCCGCGGUAAUACAGAGGUCUCAAGCGUUGUUCGGAAUCACUGGGCGUAAAGCGUGCGUAGGCGGUUUCGUAAGUCGUGUGUGAAAGGCGGGGGCUCAACCCCCGGACUGCACAUGAUACUGCGAGACUAGAGUAAUGGAGGGGGAACCGGAAUUCUCGGUGUAGCAGUGAAAUGCGUAGAUAUCGAGAGGAACACUCGUGGCGAAGGCGGGUUCCUGGACAUUAACUGACGCUGAGGCACGAAGGCCAGGGGAGCGAAAGGGAUUAGAUACCCCUGUAGUCCUGGCAGUAAACGGUGCACGCUUGGUGUGCGGGGAAUCGACCCCCUGCGUGCCGGAGCUAACGCGUUAAGCGUGCCGCCUGGGGAGUACGGUCGCAAGAUUAAAACUCAAAGAAAUUGACGGGGACCCGCACAAGCGGUGGAGCAUGUGGUUUAAUUCGAAGCAACGCGAAGAACCUUACCAAGUCUUGACAUCCUCUUGACCGGUCAGUAAUGUGACCUUUUCUUCGGAACAAGAGUGACAGGUGGUGCAUGGUUGUCGUCAGCUCGUGUCGUGAGAUGUUGGGUUAAGUCCCGCAACGAGCGCAACCCUUAUCCUUAGUAGCCAGCAGUUCGGCUGGGCACUCUAGGGAGACUGCCAGGGAUAACCUGGAGGAAGGUGGGGAUGACGUCAAAUCAUCAUGCCCCUUAUGACUUGGGCUACACACGUGCUACAAUGGCGUAAACAAAGUGAAGCGAGAGUGUGAGCUUAAGCAAAUCACAAAAAUAACGUCUCAGUUCGGAUUGUAGUCUGCAACUCGACUACAUGAAGCUGGAAUCGCUAGUAAUCGCGAAUCAGAAUGUCGCGGUGAAUACGUUCCCGGGUCUUGCACUCACCGCCCGUCA
rnacentral:rRNA from 1 species